CCUACGGGAGGCAGCAGUGAGGAAUAUUGGUCAAUGGGCGGAAGCCUGAACCAGCCAAGUAGCGUGCGGGAUGAAGGCCCUACGGGUCGUAAACCGCUUUUGCACGGGGAUAACACCCUCCACUUGUGGAGGUCUGCAGGUACCGUGCGAAUAAGGGCCGGCUAAUUCCGUGCCAGCAGCCGCGGUAAUACGGAAGGCCCGAGCGUUAUCCGGUUUCAUUGGGCUUAAAGGGAGCGUAGGCGGGCGUUCAAGUCAGCGGUAAAAGCGCGCGGCUCAACCGCGCCCCGCAGUUGAAACUGGACGCCUUGAGUGCACAACAGGCAGGCGGAAUUCGUGGUGUAGCGGUGAAAUGCAUAGAUAUCACGAGGAACCCCGAUUGCGAAGGCAGCCUGCCGGGGUGCGACUGACGCUGAGGCUCGAAGGUGCGGGUAUCAAACAGGAUUAGAUACCCUUGUAGUC
rnacentral:rRNA from 1 species